CUUCAUAUGUAGUCAAUAUAAAUUGUAUGUCCAUUUAAUUUUGAAAAAUAGACAAAAUUGGUUACAAAGCCUAUAAAAAUAUAAUUUUGGCCCUUUACGACCAAAUUACGUUUUCGGCUUGCAUAUCCUUCAAAUUACUGCACGACCAUUUCCAAAAAAAUGCAUAUACUAGUUAUAACUCCGGCUGGGAAGACGGUAAAAGUCGAUAUUGGCGAUGAACCUGAUCACAAGGAUGUGAAUCACGACAGAAUAAUACCGCUGAGCGAUACAAAAUUAAUGGAUAAGUUCCCAACAAGCUCGGAACAGCCACCGAUACAGAUAGAGAAGCAACCAAAAUAUUCAGGCCAACCAUCCGUGCAUUUCUCAAGCAAUUCAUAGCACGUCGAUGUCGUUAAAAAGAUGUUUUCGUUGUGCGGUAGCUGCUUGAGGGAAAACCUGGGGCACACCUGCCUGUAUAUUGGUUGUGCCAAGUUAAAUAAUUAAUAUAUGCUGAAUACACAACUCUUUUGUCGACAGUUUAGUUUCGACUUAAUAUAUCGGCAGCUUGAAAGCGGAAUACAAAGCAGUAUUUGGUGCAACUGAGUAACAGGCAACAAAUGUGCAAAGUUAGCAACAACAACCUACAAAUAAUUUAAUAAUAAUAAUGUAAUUUCAAUGUAUUUCCUUAGCUCCAUUGAGCAUUAAGGUACAUUUCUAUAAAAUAUACAAACCUAACAAAACGAUUAUUUACGAAUGUACUAAUGAAACGUUUCAAUAUAUGCCUAUAAGUAAAUACUA